rnacentral:rRNA from 1 species
AGUGAACGCUGGCGGUAGGCCUAACACAUGCAAGUCGAACGGCAGCACAGUAAGAGCUUGCUCUUACGGGUGGCGAGUGGCGGACGGGUGAGGAAUACAUCGGAAUCUACUUUUUCGUGGGGGAUAACGUAGGGAAACUUACGCUAAUACCGCAUACGACCUACGGGUGAAAGCAGGGGAUCUUCGGACCUUGCGCGAUUGAAUGAGCCGAUGUCGGAUUAGCUAGUUGGCGGGGUAAAGGCCCACCAAGGCGACGAUCCGUAGCUGGUCUGAGAGGAUGAUCAGCCACACUGGAACUGAGACACGGUCCAGACUCCUACGGGAGGCAGCAGUGGGGAAUAUUGGACAAGGGGCGCAAGCCUGAUCCAGCCAUACCGCGUGGGUGAAGAAGGCCUGCGGGUUGUAAAGCCCUUUUGUUGGGAAAGAAAAGCAGCAGGUUAAUACCCCGCUGUUCGGACGGUACCCAAAGAAUAAGCACCGGCGAACUUCGG